ACCGUGUUUUCGCUCCUCUUUGUACCGUUUCAUCGUCGAUGCACUUUAUUGUGUGUCACGUUUGAACGGCCUUUUUACUUUGAGAAAAUUAGCGUGCUUAACGCAGGCGUUACAGCUUGUAUAAUGUUGCAUGGAAUAAUGAAAUAGGACCUCGGUUCUGUUUUGUUGGCUUCCGGAAGCUGAGGUAAUGAUUAAUAGGGACAGACGGGGGCAUUCGUAUUGUGGUGUUAGAGGUGAAAUUCUUGGAUCACCGCCAGACGAACAACUGCGAAAGCAUUUGCCAAGAAUGUUUUCAUUAAUCAAGAACGAAAGUUAGAGGUUCGAAGACGAUUAGAUACCGUCCUAGUUCUAACUAUAAACUAUGCCAACUGGGGAUCCGUCGAUUGCCAUUUGUAGGCUCGGCGGGCACCCUACGGGAAACCAAAGUGAACAGGUUCCGGGGGGAGUAUGGUUGCAAAAUCGAAACUUAAAGGAAUUGACGG
rnacentral:rRNA from 1 species